rnacentral:tmRNA from 1 species
GGGGGCGACUUGGUUUCGACGUGGGUAGCGAAGCAGCGCAGGGCAUGCCAAGGUCCAGUCACCUUGUUAAACCGCUGGAAAUCUACAAACGCCAACGACGAGCGUUACGCUCUCGCCGCCUAAUACCGGCGAGACGCUGCACUAGCUUGCUGAUGGGCUAGGCCGGGGAAACCCGGUGCAGCGUCAUUCACAUCAGCCCCUCUGUGUGGUCUGGUCGCUUGGCCGCACGGAUCCGUCGAAGCGACUGGCUGAGCGUCAGCCUGCCGGCCGGCGGGCGCAAGGCGAGAUCCAGAUGACCAGGCUAAGCAUGUAGUCCUGACUGUAGAGGACUUGCGGACGCGGGUUCGAUUCCCGCCGCCUCCACCA